AUGAUUCGUGGGACGUCCUGCCGGUGGUGGCGAGUCGAAGGCGUGCUCCCGUCGUGGUUUCCACUUCGGUUCUUGCGCGCCCGAGGCGGACCCCGAUGAAAUCCUACCGCGGUGCUCUUAACCGAGUGUCGAGGUGGGCCGGCACGUUUACUUUGAACAAAUUAGAGUGCUUAAAGCAGGCCUGUUGCGCCUGAAUACUGUGUGCAUGGAAUAAUGGAAUAGGACCUCGGUUCUAUUUUGUUGGUUUUCGGAACCCGAGGUAAUGAUUAAUAGGGACAGGCGGGGGCAUUCGUAUUGCGACGUUAGAGGUGAAAUUCUUGGAUCGUCGCAAGACGGACCGAAGCGAAAGCAUUUGCCAAGUAUGUUUUCAUUAAUCAAGAACGAAAGUUAGAGGUUCGAAGGCGAUCAGAUACCGCCCUAGUUCUAACCAUAAACGAUGCCAGCUAGCGAUCCGCCGAAGUUCCUCCGAUGACUCGGCGGGCAGCUCCCGGGAAACCAAAGCUUUUGGGUUCCGGGGGAAGUAUGGUUGCAAAGCUGAAACUUAAAGGAAUUGACGGAAGG
rnacentral:rRNA from 1 species